GUACUACUCCCUCCUUUCGGAAUUACUUGUCAUAGAAAUGGAUGUAUCUAGAUGUAUUUUAGUUCUAGAUACAUCCAUAUCCGAGACAAGUAAUUCCGAACAGAGGGAGUACUAC
rnacentral:pre_miRNA from 1 species